GGGCACGUGGUGUAGUUGGUUAUCACGCUCGCUUAGCAUGUUUGUGCACCUGCGAGAGGGGUCCGGUUCAAUCCCGGACGUGUCCA